UAUCACUAUUAAGUUCUGACCAUGCAGUAAAAAAUAAUUUUUAAAAUUUUAAAAUCAUACAAAUCAAUAGCUUUAUCAAAUAAAACUAUCGAGCUAAAAUCCAAACCCUAGAAUCACUUUGUCGAUAUCGAUAAAAUAAAAACAAACAUGCAAAAGAGAUAGAAUUUUAUACUUUCGCCAAAAUAAAAAAAUAGCAUGUUGGUGUUCUCCACAAGACCCCA
rnacentral:lncRNA from 1 species